GACGAACCGUCCAAACGUUAUUCGGUAUCACUGGGCUUAAAGCGUUCGUAGGCGGCCUGGUAGGUGAGGUGUGAAAGCCCACGGCUCAACCGUGGAACAGCGCUUCAAACCACCAGGCUUGAGGAUGGCAGGGGUAGUGGGAACUGAUGGUGGAGCGGUGAAAUGCGUUGAUAUCAUCAGGAACACCGGUGGCGAAAGCGCAUUACUGGGCCAUUUCUGACGCUGAGGAACGAAAGCUAGGGUAGCGAACGGG
rnacentral:rRNA from 1 species